CAAUAGCGUAUAUGAAAGUUGUUGCGGUUAAAAAGUUCGUAGUUGGAUUUCUGCCAAGGACGACCGGUCCGCCCUCUGGGUGAGUAUCUGGCUUGGCCUGGGCAUCUUCUUGGAGAACGUUGCUGCACUUCGCUGUGUGGCGCGGUAUCCAGGACCUUUACUUUGAGGAAAUUAGAGUGUUUCAAGCAGGCUUUCGCCUUGAAUACAUUAGCAUGGAAAAAUAAGAUAGGACCUCGGUUCUAUUUUGUUGGUUUCUAGAGCCGGGGUAAUGAUUAAUAGGGAUAGUUGGGGGCAUUCGUAUUUAACUGUCAGAGGUGAAAUUCUUGGAUUUGUGAAAGACGGACUACUGCGAAAGCAUUUGCCAAGGAUGUUUUCAUUGA
rnacentral:rRNA from 1 species